GGCUGGUCCAAGUGCAGUGGUGUUUAACACUAAUAGAUCACAACCAGUUACAAAUUUCCUUGUUUCUUCUCCACUCCCACUGCUUCACUUGACUAGCCUUUA
ensembl:misc_RNA Y_RNA Y RNA